CGGAAGGAUCAUUAUUGAAACAUUGUAAAGGAAGGUUGAGCUGGCUCUUCCAGAGCAUGUGCUCGCCUUUCUUUCAAUUAUUCAUCCACCUGUGCACUUUUUGUAGGAAGACCGAGAAGAUAUAUACCCACGUAUGUGUUGGUAUCGGGCUUUCUAUGUAUUUACACACCCUGAUUGUAUGUUUUUGAAUGUCCUUUAUAAGGGUCCUAGUUGACCCUUUUAAACAAACUAUACAACUUUCAGCAACGGAUCUCUUGGCUCUCGCAUCGAUGAAGAACGCAGCGAAAUGCGAUAAGUAAUGUGAAUUGCAGAAUUCAGUGAAUCAUCGAAUCUUUGAACGCACCUUGCGCCUCUUGGUAUUCCGAGAGGCAUGCCUGUUUGAGUGUCAUUUAAUUCUCAACCUCAAAAGCUUUUUUUGGCUUUUGAGGCUUGGAUGUGGAGGCUUUUUGCUGGCUUGYUUCAGAGUCCGGCUCCUCUCAAAUGCAUUAGUGGAAACUGUUUGUAGUCCGCAUUGGUGUGAUAAUUAUCUGCGCCAUUGUAUUUCGUGGCUACAGCUCAUAACAGUAUUCGCUUCAAACCGUCCUAAGUCGCUGGACAACCCUUGACUAUUUUGACCUCAAAUCAGGUAGGACUACCCGCUGAAC
rnacentral:rRNA from 1 species